CAUGAGUAAGAGUUCGUACUAGUCUAGGGUAAGAUGUGGAUUGAAUAAUUCUGGCUUUGCUACUGACCACUUAUAUAAUGUUGACAAGUCAUUUACCUGAUCAGUCUCAGCUCACUUUUUUGAAAAAAAUGAGGCUGGAAUCAGCCUCUCUCAUUAUCACAUCCUCAUGAACUUUCUCACAUGUUGGUUGUUCGUGUGGCUAACGAGAUCAUUCACGGGACGCUCCCCCGCAGCCCCAUGUUUCUCUGGUGUUGUGAUUGUCUUCAGUUUACUCCUGAAGUUGCCCUUCAGUCUCAGCAAAGUAGUCCCCAUCACAGUCACCAGGGGAGCUUCUCUGGAAGAUGCAUGCCCCACAGCCUUGACUUCCCAGGUCUGAGAUGCAACCCCGACCAUUCUGGAAGCUGGUGCUGCACUCUGCUGCUUUGCACAGUGGAGGAGAAGACAAGCUCAGGAGGUUUCCUGUUCUCUAUUUGAGAUUGUACUGGAGGAACUCCAAGAAAACCUUCCUUGACCAAUAGGCUUCUGAUACAAGCUCCUGUAGGAAGAAUGUUCCCCUAUUGAUGAGGGCUCCGCUGGAUUGUCCCUUAGGCUCCUAGAUAGUACCUCAAAAUCUAGGUACCCCACAGUGAAACUGAUACCAUGCUGAUCUGCCUAACACAUCAGAUUGAAAGGAAGGCCUGUUCCUGUGCCAGAAGCUAAACAACGCAGAGGAAGGAAAUCUCUGUGACUGAGAUCCACACAGGAGGGAAGACACGCAUGCCUGCUUCAAAGGGAAUGGAAAGAGAGACUGAGCAUUUUAAAUGUAGCUUUAAAGUCUCUUUUUAAAAAAAAAAAUUUUUUUUUGAUGCCCUCAGUUUUGAGUAUAAGCUCAGCC
rnacentral:lncRNA from 1 species